rnacentral:rRNA from 1 species
AACGAACGCUGGCGGCAGGCCUAAUACAUGCAAGUCGAACGAGUGGCGGACGGGUGAGUAAUGUCUGGGAAACUGCCUGAUGGAGGGGGAUAACUACUGGAAACGGUAGCUAAUACCGCAUACCAUCGGAUGUGCCCAGAUGGGAUUAGCUAGUCGGUGGGGUAAAGGCUCACCUAGGCGACGAUCCCUAGCUGGUCUGAGAGGGUGACCAGCCACACUGGAACUGAGACACGGUCCAGACUCCUACGGGAGGCAGCAGUGGGGAAUAUUGCACAAUGGGCGAAAGCCUGAUGCAGCCAUGCCGCGUGUAUGAAGAAGGCCUUCGGGUUGUAAAGUUCUGUCAGCGGGGAGGCGUUACCCGCAGAGGAAGCAACGGCUAACUCCGUGCCAGCAGCCGCGGUAAUUC